GUAGUUUCUUUUAUUUUCAUCUUUUUCAAAGAUUUGGCAGAUGAAAGAAAAGAUAAGUCAGAUUAACUCAGGAAUUUUCAAAUGAACAAGUCACUUUGGAUCACUCCCAAAGCUACAAUUAAUUAUUCCCAAAAAAAUUCUACAGACAUCUGUAGAACUACCCUAGAUUGUAUAUUCUGAUUAUGGUGCCCUAAGAUAUAUUGAUGCUUUAAUAUCACUCAUUGCAUUUUAAUAUUGGACAGAAUCAUUUUUUUUCUCUGUGUUGGAAGCUUGAAAGAACUACAACUGGUGUUGCAGUUCUGAAAGAAAAGAAGAAGCUUAAUGUUGUUAAACAGUGAUGGAAUAGAAUGUAAAAGGAAAUUAAACAUUGGUCAAUAAUUCUACAAUUAUAUAACAUGGAGAAAUUUUGCCAGAAAAAACAACGUUCUUGGAGGAGCAGAAACUGGUGUUUAAAAUCAUAUUCAACUGGACAUUACCUUCCAUUUUAUUCCUUUCUUGUUAUAUAAAAUGUGUUUGCAUGAUAAGUGUGUAUUUCAUACAUGUUCUUUAUCUUUGCACCAUGGCAUACUUAUAUGGCAUGGGCAAAGAAGGUCAAAUUAAUCAAGACUAUAUAGUACCUAAAGUCUAGAUUAUAGUAGCUAAGGUUAACAUUUCAUUUAUCAAUAAAUAUAGUCUUAUUUCCAUGUUCUUUUAAAAAAAUAUAUAUUCUUAGUCAAUAUCAAAUAGUUGUUUUCGAUAAAUAUAUCAUAGAUUAAAAAGUAUUUCUAGAUAGUUUAUAUUCAAAAGGGCAAAAUUAUGAAGAAUAGAGCUGAAUAAGUAAUAGUCUCUCAGCAGAAUCAUAUCAUGAGUGUUUAAAUUGUCAAGAAUAAAAAUGAUAACAUAUAAUUUAGUGGUACAUUAAGAAUGUCCACACACUUGGGAAUAAGCUGUUAGACACCAUGAAAUUUAUUAUUGAGGAAAUACAGGAAUGCGUAGUAAAUUUUAUAAAGUGAAUUAUAACCUGUAAUAUGAUGAUUUAGUAGCUACUUAUAAUGUAUUCUUAAGAAAAUAUUUUUCUCCUACAAAAUGCAUAGUUUAAAAGGCUAAAGCUUGUUAAAUUAUAUCAGCCUUGUGCAAAAAGUAUAUACUGGAAUGUUAUCUUUAUACAGUAAUACUUGAUAAAUUUGCCUAGUAGUUAUUCAACUAAAAAUAGAUAUAGAUAAAAAUGGUUCAAUGCUAUGCAUAUGGCUUUUUCCUAUUCUGAGAAACACUCUGGAUAUACUUGUGUGUGAGUGCCCGUGCGUGUACAUAUAUCUAUAUCUAUCAUUUUAAUUAAAAUGUUUUAAUUUAGUUUAACCUAAUUUUUGUUUUAGUUCUAGAUUAGUGACACAAUUAGAUUGGCUCUUUAUCUCUCUUAGAUUAGUGUGGCAGCCAAUCAUUUGUGUUUGUGCAUAAUUAAUUAAGCUUCCUACCUUAAUGAUAAUGCUGAAAGUGUGCUAGACCCCUUCAUCUUUUGACUUUCCAUUGUCUUCCUCAUUCUCAUUUUCUCUCUCUCUCUCAUUUUUUCUCUCUCUGUCUCUCUCUCUCUGUGUCUCUCUCAUGUUUUACAUGACUAAGGAAUUAAAUCAUCAUCUUUUCAUCACUGUGGUCAUACUUUCACUCAAUAGAGUCUGUACUUUUAUGUUUAGGAAGUAAAGUGCUUACAACUUCUUUCUCUCUCUCUCUCCUGUAGUUACACAGUAAGGAUUUUUGAAUGUAUAAUGUCAUCUAAGGUGGUCUUUCGUUCUUCCGACUACUACUACAAGGGGUACCUCCGCAUAUUGCCCAGUCCUAUAUGAAAGAAAUAGAAGCAAGCAAGUUUGGAAAAAAAUAAAUUCUGGCCCCAGUGCUUCUCUGCUUCUGCACCAGAAACUGCUAGCUACUCCACAGCCUCUCAUUUCUACCGUGAUCCUCCUAAAUCAUAUAUUGCCCCUUCCGUCUUGCUCCUGUUGCUGGUGGAAAGAAAAACUCACGCAUGGAUUGCUUUUUUUUUUUUUUUGAAGUUUAAUGAAAUAAGCUGAUGCUUACCUGCAUUUUGUAUCAUUGUGUAUUUCUGUUUCCUUCUCUUUGCCCUCUCUUUUUUAAUGCAAAAAAAAAAAAGACAAGCUAAAGAAAUAUGCAUGAGAGCUCAUUUAUAGUUUCUAAUUUAUAUGGCUAGAUACUUUUUUUGUGAAACGUAGAUGCUGCCAUACCCAAUAACAAUGCAAUCAAAACAUACCUCUUUUGAUAACCAAAUAACAAAUUAUAGGUGGACAUGUUUCCUGUGUACACGAUUUACAGCAGUUAACCAUUAAUUGAGCUGAAUGCAUCUCAAUUUAAAAGAGUUUUUUUUUCUCUGUUGUUCAUUUGUAAAUCCCAUUUCUUUGAGCUACUACAGGGGAUUUUUUUUUGGUGAUGUACAAUAAAGCUGAAGUGUUUAUGACCUAGUCACAUA